ensembl:lncRNA
CCCAUAAAUGUACCUGCUUUGAACAUUGCACUGCACUCACCAUUUACUCGUAUGCAUUCUGUGGGACAAGCAAGCUUUUUAUUUGUGUCAGUCAAGUAUGAAGUUCAAGGAAAAGAAAAUGCCAAGCAUGUUUAGGCGGAAAUCAAAGAAUGUGAACGAAGACAAACCUUUAAUGAAAAACAUAGAGCAGACAGAUGGUAAGACACUCUCUUGUUAUUUACCUGUAAUAGACAUUUAUGAAAGUAAGCAUCUUUGCAUUUGUUGAAAAAGCCAACAUCUUUCCAUUGGUAUACAAUGCAAGCAUAUUGUUUAAAGUUUUGCAGCUGUUUGUUUGGUGGCAUGGUUUGAUGAAUCACAUCUGUGUUUAGUGGUUAACUGUAGAGUCAUGUGAUACUCAUUUUUGUCUGUUUAUUAUGGGUUAACUUUUCGGUUCAAUUUGUAAAAUUUCUCAAAACACUAUAUUCAUGAGAGAAUAAUUCAUGACUUGUAAAAAAAAAUAAUCUCUCAGUAAGGAAGUUUUUAUUUGAUUGUUACUUCAUUGAAUUAACACUUUCACUUACAUGUUUUCAAAACAUGAAACCAAAAUGAAUGCAAAAAUUAAAUUUCUAUGAACUUAGCAUGUACACUUUUUACCCCUGUUUUCUUUAUCAUGUACACUCUUAUUUGUCAGUGACCCUUCCACCAGAGGAACAGGCAUCUGGAGUUCCUGAUCUCAUUGCUCUAGAUGCUGAAGCACUUAACAAGAGAGUGCUUCAUGCUCUCAGAAAGAUUCUGAGUGACCAAUCAACCUCUGAGGACUUUGAUGCUGCAGCUGAGGUGCUGAAAACAUUGAGCAAACUGAAUAACAACUAUUCUCAAGACUGGCUUUGUGAGUACCUUCAAGAAAUUAAUCAGUUUGUGGAGAACCACUUUCCCACGCUGCCAGCAGAGGGACCACAAGGAUCUCAGUUGGAGCAGAUACAGGACUUUCAGAGAACACAGAGCAUGAUAAAUGAUAAGGUGCUUCGAUUAACACCUGCACUGAAAGAUGCUGGGCUGCUAGAUCAUCUGAUGGACAGUUACAGCCGUCACCUCUUUACCAACCUGGACCUGCUGCUAAACAGAGAUCUGUCUGUGAAAGAGAUCUUCUGCCUUCUGCUGUGGGGAAAAGAUGUUUUCUUCAGUUCAGACUCACAGCAUUUCUUCAGAGUGCACGACCCUCUGCUGUUGACAAAUUGGUUUGAGAGAGCAACGGAGAAACUGCUUCCAAAAUUAAAGGUUAUGAUAUGCUCCAUAUUUAUUUGUUAAAAGUAUUAUCAUUGCAAUAGGCUAAAAAGAGUACCCAAAAUAGCAAAACAUUUAGGAAUGACAUAAAACUCUGUCCCGCUUGAACUGGAGCAGAAUGACAUCCCCACGACUCUACAGAACAUCCUGGACUAUGAUGAGCAACAUAGACCUAAUGGAGACUCAAUGGAUGAAGAAACGUUCAUCAGAGUUCACUUAGAUGUCACUAAAGUAAGUAAAACAAUGUGUAAUGCAAAUUUUUUUCUUGGUGUUAAACAGAGGAUUUUAAAUGGUUUUAAAGUAUAAGGUACUGCACACUUAUUUUAUGUUGUUAUGUCUUUACAGUGUCUGAAUGCUGUUAUACAGAGUUCUAAGGAAUUUAGUCACACGUUGAUGUGUGCGGCACAAACGCUCUGCCUUAAAGAGCUUCAUCAUUUUGUUCAGGAGUAAGUGUCUAAAAUGUCUUUACAUUAUCUAUCUAUUUAUUGUUAUGCAUAUUUUAAAUUUUUUUCUUUAUAAAAAUAUACCAAAAUAUUAUACAAAUUAAUAUGAACUAUUCUAUUAUUUAUUUAUUUUUCUAGGUAUGUGCAUGCAGAGAAAAAACGCCUGGAAAAACAACAACCCCUGAAGAAAAAUCCUGUGCAUCUGUUUCGGCUCAUCAGCACCUGUAGACAACUCAGGUGAUUUCUAUUUUUAAAGAUUAAUAUAUUUAUACAUUUAUAAAACCUGUCAGUGUAUAAUUAACUGACAUUUCCCUGUGCAUAAUGUUCUGAUUUAUCCUGCAUUAGAUUCAUAAAUUCAUUUUGUCAUAAAAACAGCCUUAUGCGUAUAUUUAUUUUGCUGUAGAUUUUUUGCUCCUCAACUCAACAAUCCAGAUAUAAACAACAGUGACGACCUCUCAAAAAUUAUCUGCAUGUUAGAGGAGAUGGAGGAUCACGUUCUGUCUAUUGUACAGAAGAUGAUGAAAGACGUAGCACAGGUAACAUCAUUUCAUCAUAAACAGUUUAUGUACAGAAGGAAAGUUGAGGACUUUCCCAGAUUCCAAAAAGGGAAUGUCUCAGUCAUCAAUAGAGGUUAAUAUUUGUUUGCUUACAUACCUGCCUAUCAGGUUUUUCAACAAUGAAUAGGUAACUCUUUGUAAUAAGGUUGAGUUUGUUACGUAGUAAAUCCAUUAGGUAUUAUGAACUAACAUUGAGCAAUACUUUUUAAACCUAGAGUUCAGUUUCAGUUUAAUUUAUUUAUAUAGCACAUUUAAUAACGAAAGAGCCGACCAAAGUGCUGAACAGAAAAUAGAACAAAACUAAUAACAAUAAAACAAAAAAGAAUAAAAGAAAACACAAAGUACACAACACUAAAUUCACACAAAAUAAAACUGUAUACAGCAGUUACUCCAGUCCAUAAGACAUUUUAAAAAGAUAUGUCUUAAGUAAAGAUUUAAAAACCGGAACAGAAGUGGCUGAUCUGCCACAGAAAAUGCACGAUCCCCCUUGUGUUUUAAGCGUUUCCUUUUAACAGACAGCAACAGAGUGUUUGAUGACCUUAAUGGCCCAUCGAUCUGAUAAUGGGAGAGAAGAUCAGAUGAGUAGUUUGGUGCCAAGCCUGUCAGGGACUUAUAAACAAACAGUAAUACCUUAAACUAGAUUCUAUACUCAUGGGGGAACCAGUACAAACUAGCCAAAACAGGUGUAAUAUUUUCCCCCUUCCUAGUCCUAGUUAAAAGUCUGGCUGCAGCAUUUUGGACCAACUGAAGGCGAGACAAACAAGAUUGAGUGACCCCUAAAUAUAGUAAAUUACAAUAGUCCAGUCUUGAUGAAAUUAAUGCAUGGAUAACGGUCUCCAAGUCCCUGAAUAAAAGAAAAGAUUUAAUUUAGGCAAAACUCCUGAGCUGAAAAAAUGCUAAUUUGACAACUGAGUUGGGUGUGGGGUCAAAAAUAAAUCCCUAAUUUCUUGCAUAAAUACCUACAGUGUUAGUUAUAGGAACCAAUGUUUUUGAGAAGAUAUUGGCAGAACCCAGACAUCCAAAAACAUUUCAGUCUUAGAGUCGUUUAAUUGAAGGAAUUUAUCCUCCAUCCAACUUUGAACUUCACUGAAACAACCAAGUAAUGACUGGACAGACAUAACUGGUAGAUAAAGCUGUUUUUCAUCUGCAUAACAAUGAUAUGAAAUCUGAUGGUUAUGAAAAAUAUUGGUUAAUGGAAGAAGAUAGAGGUAAAACAAAACAGGGCCUAAAACAGAUCCCUGUGGCACACCACAUGUACAUGCAGCAGAGGAUGAAGUAAAGU